rnacentral:rRNA from 1 species
GAUGAACGCUGGCGGCGUGCCUAAUACAUGCAAGUCGAGCGAAUGGAUUAAGAGCUUGCUCUUAUGAAGUUAGCGGCGGACGGGUGAGUAACACGUGGGUAACCUGCCCAUAAGACUGGGAUAACUCCGGGAAACCGGGGCUAAUACCGGAUAACAUUUUGAACCGCAUGGUUCGAAAUUGAAAGGCGGCUUCGGCUGUCACUUCUGGAUGGACCCGCGUCGCAUUAGCUAGUUGGUGAGGUAACGGCUCACCAAGGCAACGAUGCGUAGCCGACCUGAGAGGGUGAUCGGCCACACUGGGACUGAGACACGGACCAGACUCCUACGGGAGGCAGCAGUAGGGAAUCUUCCGCAAUGGACGAAAGUCUGACGGAGCAACGCCGCGUGAGCGAUGAAGGCUUUCGGGUCGUAAAACUCUGUUGUUAGGGAAGAACAAGUGCUAGUUGAAUAAGCUGGCACCUUGACGGUACCUAACCAGAAAGCCACGGCUAACUACGUGCCAGCCGCCGCAGUAA